AACGGUCUAUACCUGCGGUACCUGCGGAGGGAUCAUUAAAAAUUUAAUUAUCCUAUUAAAUUUAUAUGGAUAAUAAAUCCAUAUUCAUUUCGUGUGCAUCUAUCGAUUGUAUACUUUGACAGAUUUUUUCUUUCUUAAUUUCAUUUCAGAAAGAUGGAGAUCGAAUCUCGGGGUCUGUCAAAGUUUUCCUUUUCUUUCUUCUGAAUCCUUUAAAAUUCUGAAAACCUUAAAUAUAAUAAA
rnacentral:misc_RNA from 1 species